rnacentral:lncRNA from 1 species
GCAGCGAAGUGCCUCCUCCGUUCCUGGCCCCGAAGCCAAAGCCCCCGUGCACCUCAUCGUAGUCACCAGCCUCAGCCCCAAUAUGACCAUUGAAGUCCCCUGCAAUAACUAACUUCUCCGACUGGGGAAUACUCCCCACCAGAUCGUCCAAGUCCUCCCAAAAGCGCCUUUUAACCUCCUCGGCUAAGCCUGCGUGCGGCGCGUAGGCGCUGACAACAUUGAGGACCCCANNNN